rnacentral:rRNA from 1 species
UUAAAGUCUAACCUGCCCAAUGAUUUUUGAAUGGCCGCGGUAUUUUGACCGUGCAAAGGUAGCAUAAUAAUUAGUUUUUUAAUUGAGAGCUGGAAUGAAUGGUUGGACGAGAAAACUACUGUCUCGGUUUAAUUUAUUUAGAAUUUUAUUUUUAAGUUAGAAAGCUUAAUUAUCAUUAAAAGACGAGAAGACCCUAUAGAGUUUUAUAUUUUUUAUUUUAGUGUUGGGAAGGAAUUUAAUUUGACAUUAUUAUUUAGGUAUUUUGUUGGGGUGACAGAAAAAUUUAAUAAACUUUUUUUUUUCUUUUUCAUUGAUUUAUGUGUUUUUGAUCCAAAAUUUUUGAUUAUAAGUUUAAAUUACCUUAGGGAUAACAGCGUAAUUUCUUUUUAGAGUUCUUAUCGAAAGGGAAGUUUGCGACCUCGAUGUUGGAUUAAAAUUAAUGUUGGGUGCAGAAGCUCAAUAAUUAGGUCUGUUCGACCUUUAAAAUUUUACA